CCCUUCUUUUGGCACUCGUAGGGCUGAUAUGUGUUCAGUGUUGCAUACUGUGGGUGAGGGUCCUUAUUUGCCAUAUUCACAGCUACCUGUGAGAGGUGAUGCAGUGCCCAGGGCUCAAUGGGCAAUUUGUGGAAUUUGAGGUCUUUGUAUCUGUGGUUUUCAUUAUUAAGGGUCAGGCUGGAAACCCAGCUUUCCCCCAGACCUCAGCUCAUCUGAGCUGAAAGCUGCCAUGUGUGAGGCUGCCCCACGCCACCAGCUCCAGGUCCGGGCACAUCAUGAAUGCAUGGCCCAAGCAUGGGUCUCAUCUCCCAGGCUGUGCAACUGCUGUCAAAAUCUAGAAAUGCAAGAGGGAGUUUCAUGUUUUGCCACUGAUAGCUAUGUAACGAUUGUGCUAAUGACAACAAAGCUUGAAUUGAAGGAGGUUACAAGAGGCAAAUGGGAAUCAGAAUGCAUCAGCAGGAAAAAAAUAUGCAUCUCUAUCAAUCGAUUAAGCUGAAAUAAAAUUGCAGUUGUUUGACAGCUGUAAGUGAUUUAUCUUUAAAUAGCAGCAGCUCUGAUCCCUGAGAAAUCGUGACUCCUGCAAGCCUGGCAGAGAGUAAUUAAGGGACAAGCUCAGCAGUCAAUAAAUGCCCCUUGGGAUUACAGGUUCACAGCAGACCCACAAGAUGUAGUCCUCUGACAAAGGGUUCAAAAGGUUGACCUUGCCAUGCAAGAUCACCAGGGGCUGCACAGGGCAAUGGUGUAAGGCAAAGGUGGAAGAGAGAUUUCUCCGCUCGGCAGUUUCCACGUUACUUUCUGCUUUUGCAGAAGAAACAGCCAUGGAUACAAGGCAAACAUAAUCAGUGGUAAGCAGUAUGUUCCCUGGGGGAAUACAAGAAGGACAAUAAAACUUAACAUUUUGCUGAAGCACCUGCGCGAUGAACAUUACCACAAUUAGAAGCAAGUUGACAUGACUGGGGCUCACCCAGCCCCACAUGCUGUGCAGAAAAGCAGUCAGUGGCUCCUGUACUCUGGUUCCCCUCUUCCAGCCUUUCAUUAGGACUAGAGAUGGUUGAAGUGUUGGGACCACCCUGGGCAGACCAUACCCUUACUCAACCCAGCAAGUAGGAUGGCAAGAUUCUGCUGCCCAUCCACAAGGCACAAAGGCACCGACUCCCUGCAUCCACCCUCAUCCCUUGCAGGGCAUCCAUGGGAGUACCUGAAUUUCUCAGGUUUUCUUCUGUAGGCAGCCUCAGAGAUAAGCAGCUGGCACCAAUAAAAGCCCUGAGAGCAACAGAAUUAUCAAAAGGAAAACAUAAUAAAUAUAAACGUACCUCACCUUACUCUAAUGUAAAGGCACUGCUAUAUGGAGGAGGGAUGUGGGAGCCUGCUACUCCCACAGUGCUCUUCAGACAGAUUUUUUUUUCUUUUUUUUUUUAAAGACUUAAUUUCUUCUUCCCAGUUAAAAUAUUUUGCUGGUGCCCCAAGCUGCAAAAAUGGCUUCAAGUCCUGAGCAUUGGCUGUAUCUCUGUCAGAUGUGUUAUAUUUCUGGUCAAGGUUUGUUGGAAAUUGAAUAUUCUGGGCUCUAAUUUCUAAAGUGAUUUUUAUUUUGAAGUCAAGAAUCAAUUUAUUGGUAUCAGGAGCUGGAAGAUAUGGCACCAUGACAAUGUCAGUGUUGCCUUCACCUGUUCACUGAUAAUUAUUUCUGUGAUUUUAUUUUUGCCUUUUGAACAACUAGCACCUGGAGACACGGCAUUACCAAAUAAUCUCAUUUUAAAAUAAAUGAAAAAGAAAGGAGAUAAGGGAAAAACAAGUUUGUCACAGAUGAGAACCUGAAGAGUGUUCUUUAUAGCAUCAGAGAAAAGUAAAAAUAACUCAUUGUAUAUACCUUAGUGUUAAAAACAUUUUUGUACUCAUUGUUUAUGAGUUAAUUGCAUGAUUUUUUAUUUUGAUUGUCUAGACCCCAGUUUCUAAACAAGUGUGCAAUCUUUUCUUCAAAAGAAAUAAAAAGAUACCACUCCUAGAUUAUUGGAAAAAAGAUCCCUGUCUCUUGUUUAUUUAUUUAUUUAGAAAGCACAUACAGCAAUGCAUGGGGAGGGGAAGAGAGAUGCAAAACAGGUGAGCAUACAAAUCCAUCUCAGAAGAAAUAGUGAGACACUUCCCAGGUGAUUAGUAGUACAUCAGU